GAGUUUUUAAAUCCUCAAAAAUCCUGUUUUAAAACUUCACCCCAGUUUAAUCUUAGACCUGAAAAGUCGUGGGACAUCCGUGAGGCAAUCUGAAGCCUCUGUCUACUCCCUAGUUUGGCUAGAUUAGGAACCAACAGGUUCGUCUGUUAUUGAGACUCCCAGAAUGACAUUCUGAGCAGGUUAUUUAAUUAUGGGUGGUCUGGGAGGUCUCUGAGACCAAAGCCUAAGAUGCCUAAGGCUUUUUUCAGUGAAAAGUCCUGGAAAGCAGGCCCGGGCCGGGUUCGAACCCACCAGCCCGGGUUCUAAUCCACCAGCCCCAGAGCAUGUGGCCAGCGCCCUAACCACUGAACUACAGGGGCCCAUCCCAAGUGUUCAUUCUUGAAGAUCCUAUCAGAAUGCUCUUAUCAUGAAAAAUCAUAAAUAGUCCGUCCCAAAAAGUUCUGUAGGGUAAGAAGACCACAAGGUCAAGGUGCCAGCAGAUUUGAUGUCUGGUGAGAACUUUUUCUGAUUCGUAGAUGAUGCCUUUUAG